rnacentral:miRNA from 1 species
AUUUAGAUGUGUGUUUCAGGC